CAGUAGCCACGGUAAUACGAGGGGGGCAAGCGUUGUUCGGAAUUAUUGGGCGUAAAGGGUGCGUAGGCGGCUUGACAAGUCUUGUGUGAAAUCUAUGGGCUCAACCCAUAGUCUGCACGGGAAACUGUCGGGCUUGAGAAUGGGAGAGGUGAGUGGAAUUUCCGGUGUAGCGGUGAAAUGCGUAGAUAUCGGAAGGAACACCUGUGGCGAAAGCGGCUCACUGGACCAUAACUGACGCUGAUGCACGAAAGCUAGGGGAGCAAACAGGAUUAGAUACCCCCGUAGUCCCUGUCUCUUAUAC
rnacentral:rRNA from 1 species